GAUGAACGCUGGCGGCGUGCUUAACACAUGCAAGUCGAACGGGAUCCAUCAAGCUUGCUUGGUGGUGAGAGUGGCGAACGGGUGAGUAAUGCGUGACCGACCUGCCCCAUACACCGGAAUAGCUCCUGGAAACGGGUGGUAAUGCCGGAUGCUCCAGUUGAUCGCAUGGUCUUCUGGGAAAGCUUUCGCGGUAUGGGAUGGGGUCGCGUCCUAUCAGCUUGACGGCGGGGUAACGGCCCACCGUGGCUUCGACGGGUAGCCGGCCUGAGAGGGCGACCGGCCACAUUGGGACUGAGAUACGGCCCAGACUCCUACGGGAGGCAGCAGUGGGGAAUAUUGCACAAUGGGCGCAAGCCUGAUGCAGCGACGCCGCGUGAGGGAUGGAGGCCUUCGGGUUGUAAACCUCUUUUAUCGGGGAGCAAGCGAGAGUGAGU
rnacentral:rRNA from 1 species